rnacentral:lncRNA from 13 species
CAUGAUUAGGAAAUUAAACCGUUGAUUAGUUAGAGAAACGGCAUUAAGGCAAAUAUCACAGUGAGAGAAUACGAGAGGAAGACUGCAGGCUUGAUAGAGCUAAACACACACACACACACUGACACACACACACACUGACACACACACACACUGACACACACACACACACACACACACUGACACACACAGACACACACACACACAGACAAAGACAUUCAGACACAGGCGUGCGUGCAUGUGUGUGUGUGUCUGAGUGUGUGUGUGUGUGUGCGUGUGUGUCUUUGUGUGUGUGUCUGAGUGUGUGUAUAUCUGAGUGUGUGUGUGUCUGAGUGUGUGUGUAUGUCUGAGUGUGUGUGUAUGUCUGAGUGUGUGUGUGUCUGAGUGUGUGUGUGUGAGUGUGUGUGUGUCUGAGUGUGUAUAUCUGAGUGCGUGUGUGUAUGUGUGUGUCUGUGUGUAUGUCUGAGUGUGUGUGUAUGUCUGAGUGUGUGUGUGUGUCUUUGUGUGUGCGCUCGCUCGCUGCAGUUCCAAAGCUUCAGGAUCCGGUUUGUUCCAGUCCAUCUUGUGUGUCACUGUUUUCUGUUUCCGGUUUGUUCCAGUCCACCUUGUGUGUCACUGUUUUCUGUACCCGGUUUGUUCCAGUCCAUCUUGUGUGUGUGUCAGUGUUUUCUGUUGCCGGUUUGUUCCAGUCCACCUUGUGUGUGUGUCAGUGUUUUCUGUUGCCGGUUUGUU